AGAGUUUGAUCCUGGCUCAGAUUGAACGCUGGCGGCAUGCCUAACACAUGCAAGUCGAACGGCAGCACAGCAGUAGCAAUACUGUGGGUGGCGAGUGGCGGACGGGUGAGGAAUACAUCGGGACCUGCCCAGACGUGGGGGAUAACGUAGGGAAACUUACGCUAAUACCGCAUACGUCCUACGGGAGAAAGCGGGGGAUCUUCGGACCUCGCGCGGUUGGAUGGACCGAUGUUCGAUUAGCUAGUUGGUGGGGUAAAGGCUCACCAAGGCGACGAUCGAUAGCUGGUCUGAGAGGAUGAUCAGCCACACUGGGACUGAGACACGGCCCAGACUCCUACGGGAGGCAGCAGUGGGGAAUAUUGGACAAUGGGCGCAAGCCUGAUCCAGCAAUGCCGCGUGUGUGAAGAAGGCCUUCGGGUUGUAAAGCACUUUUAUCAGGAGCGAAAUACCACGGGCUAAUACCCUGUGGGGCUGACGGUACCUGAGGAAUAAGCACCGGCUAACUUCGUGCCAGCAGCCGCGGUAAUACGAAGGGUGCAAGCGUUAAUCGGAAUUACUGGGCGUAAAGCGUGCGUAGGCGGUGAUUUAAGUCUGCUGUGAAAUCCCCGGGCUCAACCUGGGAAUGGCAGUGGAUACUGGAUCGCUAGAGUGUGAUAGAGGAUGGUGGAAUUCCCGGUGUAGCGGUGAAAUGCGUAGAGAUCGGGAGGAACAUCAGUGGCGAAGGCGGCCAUCUGGAUCAACACUGACGCUGAGGCACGAAAGCGUGGGGAGCAAACAGGAUUAGAUACCCNNGUAGUCC
rnacentral:rRNA from 1 species